UACGUAGGGUGCGAGCGUUGUCCGGAAUUACUGGGCGUAAAGAGCUCGUAGGUGGUUUGUCGCGUUGUUCGUGAAAACACACAGCUUAACUGUGUGCUUGCUUCCGAUACGGGCAGACUAGAGGUAUGCAGGGGAGAACGGAAUUCCUGGUGUAGCGGUGAAAUGCGCAGAUAUCAGGAGGAACACCGGUGGCGAAGGCGGUCUGCUGGGCAGUUGCUGACACUGAGGCGCGACAGCGUGGGGAGCAAACAGG
rnacentral:rRNA from 1 species